rfam:Fictibacillus phosphorivorans strain G25-29, complete genome.
AUAUGAGGUAGAGGCGCAAAACGAAUGAGUAGCAUAUGGAGUUCUUGGAAGACGAUGAAAUAUGUUGAAAGGUCAAUUUGCCGAAGUGUAAGAAGAGCUCCAUCUCUUUUUAUGCUGGGCCGCUGCUGAACAAGCAACGGACUGUCACUACAACUGUAGUGGAGAGCUAUUCCGACA